GUGAACCAGAGGGACUUCAGAGUUGAUGGAGGCAUAAUAUGCCUCCAUCCACUCAGAUCUGCUGUCAGCAGAGCACAGGGCAGCACUGUGCACAGCAUCCUGUGAUUCAGUAUCUCCUCCCUCUGCAUGCAGACACUGAACUUUCCUCAUAGAGAUUCAUUGAUUCAAUUCAUCUCUAUGAGGAGAUGCUGAUUAGCCAGGGCUGUGUUUGAAUCAUGCUGGCUCUGCC